rnacentral:lncRNA from 1 species
ACGGACAGCGGCUGGGCCCAGCCUUUCCGGCCGAGGAGGCGGAGGGGCGCCUCCCCACAGCUCAGUGCAGGUCUCGGGAGGUGAAGGAGCCACCCCCAGGUAAGCACCCUGGAAACACCGCGUGGGCCUCCACGGCGCCAGACACUUCCCCCACAUCCAGCAGAGCCUGUCCGAGGCUGGAGCUCAGCCACUGGACAAGGACGGAAAGCAAAGAAGAUGGGCCCUGGUGGCCCCCCACCCUGGCCUCAGACCCCUUCACUGCAAG